AACAGAAGUGAGGAGGAGGAGGAGGAGGGGGAGGAGGAGGAGGAGUCGUGUUUCAAAGAUCUUUUUGCAAUCAAUAUCUGACAAUGAAAGUAAUGUUUAGCACAAAUAUUUAAUAAAAGAAAGGAAUUAAAGGGAUAUAUCACUU